GAUUAAAAAUUUUGUCUAUUUGUAUUAUUAAAAAUUAGUGUGCUUGAGAGAAUAAUUAGACAAUAAUAUGUGACGUGUCAAUGUAUGUCAUGUUAACAUACAACGACUAACUUUUAAUAAUAUAAAUAGACAAAAAAAUUAACA
rnacentral:pre_miRNA from 1 species